AAAUUCAAAGAUUUUUAGUUAGAAAGGGAGUAACCAAAACUAUUCCCCAACUUGAAUAGGUAAUUCUUUUUAGUUUUUUUUAUAUAAUAUUUUCGUUUUUAUUGUAGCUAAUUUAAUUUUUUCUUAUUUUUUUUUAAUUUUAAAAUAAUUUUAAAACUCCAACUUGAAACUACUCCCCAGUUUGAAUGCCGCUUGAAAAAUAUUUUGUCUUAACAAUGCCACUUGACUUUUUGUAUUUUUUAUUUGAAUUGAAAGUGUUUUUAUUUUAAAAUAAUUUUAAAACUCUAUCUUGAAACUACUCCCCAAUUUGAAUGGGUAUUUCUUUUAUUUAUAUAUUUUCAUUUUUAUUAUAGCUAAUUUUAUAUUUUUAUUUUAAUAUUUUUUUAAAACUCCAACUUGAAACUACUUCCCAAUUUGAAUGGGUAUUUUUUUUAUUUAUAUAUUUCCAUUUUUAUUAUAGCUAAUUUUACUUUUUUAUUUGUUUUUUUAUUUUAAUAUUUUUUUUAAACUCCAACUUGUAACUACUCCCCAAUUUGAAUGGGUAAUUAUUUUCGAUUUUUAUUAUAGCUAAUUAUAAUAUAUCUAUAUUUAUUAAUUCAAAUAGAGUAAUCAAUUAAUUCAAAAUUUAAAAUUCAAAAGAUUCUUUUGUUAGAAAGGUAGUUUAUUUUGUCUUAAAACUCCAACUUGAAACUACUCCCAAAUUUGAAUUUGCAAUUGUUUUAAUUUUUUCAACUUCGUUUUUUACUUAAAAUAAUUUUAAAAUACCAACUUUGUUUGAGCUUUAUCCUAAAAAUCUAUUUCUUUAUUUUUAUUUUUUAUUUUAAAAUAAUUUAAAACUCCAACUUGAAACUUGAGCUUUAUCCUAAAAAGUUAUUUCUUUAUUUUUAUUUUCGUUUUUUAUUUUAAAUAAUUUAAAACUCCAACUUGAAACUGGAGCUUUAUAAUAAAAAGCUAUUUUUUUAUUUUUAUUUUCGUUUUUUAUUUUAAAAUAAUUUAAAACUCCAACUUGAAACUGGAGCUUUAUAAUAAAAAGCUAUUUCUUUAUUUUUAUUUUCGUUUUUUAUUUUAAAAUAACUUAAAACUCCGACUUAAAACUAUUCCCCAACUUGAAUAGGUAGUUUUUUUUUAUCAAAAAUUUUCAUGGCCUUGCUGCAAAAUUCCAUCACUAAUUGCCAAGCUCGUUUCUCACUUCUUCCCCAGAAUGCCACCACCUAAACACUUGGAAAAAAAAAAUCCAGAUCUGAAUUGAAAUUCAAGAACAAAAUUGCCCAUAGAAACUCCAAUAAUCACAUCAAUCAUAUAUUGGUCAAAAUCAACCAACCCACAUCUAUGAAAUUCAAGUACAAAAUCAAGUGGGAAUGAAAACAGAAUAAGAUAACCUCUAAAAUUAAAAUUCUAAAUUCUAAAUUUAAAGCGCUUUGAAUUCGAGUGGGUAUUCAUGGAGCUUUUAGGUUUCAGCUUUAAUCUUUAACUGAUAUUAUCAACAAUAAUAUGAAAUUUCUAAUUUUUCUUAAAGCUUCAAAUUUUUGAAGAAUCGGGUAAUAAGAAUUUCAAACUGAUGUUACCUGAAUUCAUCAUCGAACAAAGCAACAUAAAAGGGGCCAACAAUUUUCUCUUUCUAUGCAUUUUAUUUUGUUAAAACCUUCAACGCAUAGAUUAUGUCAUUAUCAAGCCAGCAAAAUUCCUACAAAAUUUAAAAAGUUUUCGGCCUAUUUUGCUUCAAGACACUGGAGGAGGAAGGGGAAGAGUGGUGGAGGAGAGAGAGGGAUGAGAAUGGUGACAAAUGAGUUGUAGCAAUAGGCCAGGGACGGUGGUGAUGAA
rnacentral:lncRNA from 1 species